rnacentral:rRNA from 1 species
CCUACGGGAGGCUGCAGUGAGGAAUAUUGGUCAAUGGGCGCGAGCCUGAACCAGCCAAGUAGCGUGAAGGAUGACUGCCCUACGGGUUGUAAACUCCUUUUAUAAAGGAAUAAAGUGAGGCACGUGUGCCUUUUUGUAUGUACUUUAUGAAUAAGGAUCGGCUAACUCCGUGCCAUCAGCCGAGGUAAUACGGAGAAUCCGAGAGUUAUCCGGAUUUAUUGGGCUUAAAGGGAGCGUAGAUGGGUUGUUAAGUAAGUUGUGAAAGUUUGCGGCUCAACCGUAAGAUUGCAAUUGAUACUGGCAGCCUUGAGGACAGUUGAGGUAGGCGGAAUUCGUGGUGUAGCGGUUAAAUGCUUA